GACGUAGGGGACGAGCGUUGUCCGGAUUCAUUGGGCGUAAAGCGCGCGUAGGCGGUUACGCAAGUCGGUUGUGAAAAUCCGGGGCUCAACCCCGGACCUGCAUCCGAUACUGCGUGACUAGAGGUAGGUAGGGGAGAUCGGAAUUCCUGGUGUAGCGGUGAAAUGCGUAGAUAUCAAGUGGAACACCAGUGGCGAAGGCGAAUCCCUGGAAAAUACCUGACACUGAGGCACGAAAGCUAGGGGAGCAAACAGG
rnacentral:rRNA from 1 species